CAAUAGCGUAUAUUAAAGUUGUUGCGGUUAAAAGCUCGUAGUUGGAUUUCUGCCGUAGACGAUCGGUCCGCUCUUUGAGCGUGUAUCUGAUUCGGCUAUGGCAUCCUCGUGAGUUGCGUUGCUGUGCUUGAUUGCAUGGUGCGAAGUUCACGACUUUUACUUUGAAAAAUUAGAGUGUUCAAAGCAGGCUAUUGCUUGAAUACAUGAGCAUGGAAUAAUGGAAUAGGACUUUGGUCCCAUUUUGUUGGUUUCUAGGGCCGAAGUAAUGAUUAAGAGGGACAAUUGGGGGCAUCCGUAUUUCGUUGUCAGAGGUGAAAUUCUUGGAUUUACGAAAGACGAACAACUGCGAAAGCACUUGCCAAGAGUGUUUUCAUUAAUCAAGAACGAAAGUUAGAGGAUCGAAGAUGAUUAGAUACCAU
rnacentral:rRNA from 1 species